UACGACGGGGCGUAGCGUUGCUCGGAAUUACUGGGCGUAAAGCGCACGUAGGCGGAUUGUUAAGUCGGGGGCUCAACCCUCGAAUGCCGGUGGAUACUGUCGGGCUAGAGUGCGGGAGAGGCGAGUGGAAUUCCUGGUGUAGCGGUGAAAUGCGCAGAUAUCAGGAGGAACACCAAUUGCGAAGGCAGCUCGCUGGAACGUAACUGACGCUGGAGAACGCGAAAGCCGUGGGGAGCAAACAGG
rnacentral:rRNA from 1 species